GUGUGUGCAUGCAUAUUAGUGACGUGUUUUGCACAUUAUGUAUAAUCAGGAUUGUUGUCGAGUGUCACAAUCAUAUAUAUUUUUUAACCUAGCAAGAGGCUGUGAGUGUUGCAGGCACCAGGCCAAGGCCCCUCUAUGUAGGAAUUGCCCCUGUCUACAAUCUCACUUUGUUGUGGGCAGAAAUCAUGAUGCCGGUCACUGCUAGUUUUAUGCAGGAAAUAGUUAUUUGUGUUUUAAGCAGAAACUGAAACAAGGAGAGGGUGGAAAAUCAGUGUGGGUCAUAACGAUGCAUGUUAGAAAUGUGAAGAAAAUGCCCACUCCUCAUUCUUCCCCAGCAUAUGUGUGUCCUCAGUUCCAGCAUAGGAAUCUCUCCUCCCUUCCACCCUAUCCUGAGUCCCCCUCACAGGCCUUCGGUUCUGUUGGGAAUGAGCCCCAUUCUUCUCCAUUUCCUUUGGCUUUUGGUUCAUACUGUGCUUGGUUACACGGGUCUGGCAGGUGCUGACUGCCUGUGACUGACAGGGCACACCCUGCUCGCUACCCUGCAGUCUGUUACCCACCUUUCAGUGCUCUCCUAUCAAACCUAUUGUUGAAAUAAAACACACACACAGACCAUCAGCUUAAUCCCAGCUAAAGGUCAGGGCUGGGGGAUGACUUCGUCAGUAAAACACCCACCACCCAAGUGUGCGGACCUGGGCUCUGAUCCCUAGCCCACAAGGCUGGGAUGGUGCUGUGUGUCUGUAACCCCAGAAAUGGGGAGUGAGAGACAGACCCCAAAGCUUACUGCCUGUUCAACCAGUUUAGUCAGUUUAGUCAGUAGGGAGUUCCAGUUUCACUGAGGGGCCCUCUCUCAGGAAUAAGAUAAAAGGUAAUCCAGGAAGCACAACAGUGACCUCUGGCCUCCACAUGUGCACACAUGCACCCCCACACAGGCACAGUCACAGGAACCAACAUGAACAUGCACAUACAACAUACAGCUGGGUACCAAAUACCUUAUGGGAAAUAAGCUAUAUAUGUGUUGAGGAAAAUACUUAUGGAGGAUGAGUCAAUCGUGAGAAACUCUUCUUGGUUGCAGGGUGGUGGGCAUGAUUUCACGAUUCCCAUUUGGGAGGUCACAAAGCCCAGAGACCACGAGGUUCAUAAGAGGCAGACUAGGGCUCAUGGCGGCUUCUUCAUGGCAGUCGUCAGAUUCCAGGAGUCAGAAGGAAACUCAGAGAGCCGUGACAUAUUGAUCAGGACUUCACCAGACAGUCAUAAGAAAGCUCCAAAAGCACAAGGGAAUAAUGGUAUUUCUCUACAACUUUUUGUUGGUUUAUUUGUUUCUUUUAAAUCCUGCUAUAACCAGACCAGUCAAUUCCCAAGGAGUUUUACUCUAAUGUGUUAAGGUGUGCUUGGACAGACCCAUGAGCGAAAGUGAAAGCCGACUGUUGUCGCUUUGCACGCAGAAAGUCGAUGUUAAUAUUAUGAGUAAACAAUGAUGCUAAGCCUUUUCUAGGAUGAUAAUCUGUAGAUCUGAGCUGUAUUUCCAUGCAGUUUUGAAGCAAGCAUUGCUUGAGUGUCAAUGUCUGUUGAGUAAUGAAUUACCUACCCCCUACCCCAAUCUACUUCUAGUGUAGUUGGAAAGGAAAAGUUUGAGGCAGCCUCAUAGAAAUCCCACAAUAGAUCUGGAAGAUCACUUGAUUCAUCGAUUGUUGGGGAACGUUCCGGUUUCAUUUGGUUGCUGUGAGAAACAGGACGAGCAAAAGAAAGUUAUAGAGGGAAUGGUUUGCUGGCUUAGGCUUCCCGGUCAUAGCCCGUCCGGGCAGAAUCUCAAAGCAGAAAUCACAGAAGAAUGGAGCUUGCUGGCUUGCUCUCAGGCUCCUGGUUAGUAAUGUUUUCAUACACUCAGGCCCACGGUGAGCUGGAUUCUCCUGCAUCCACUAGUAAUCAAGACGAUCUCCCACAGACACGACCACAGAGCUCAAGAAGUCAAAAACCAAGGUAUAGGAAGGUAUGAAGCAACAAUGUCACAUUCCCUUCUGAACCAAAACCCAGAAGUGGCAAUACUGCCAUCCCGUCUGUGAAGCAUAAGUUUAAAGUUAGCGAAGUACAGGUUUAGAGUUAGGAGAAAGACUUUUGGACAUAAAGAUAAAUAAACUCAGCUUCUGACUGAGUGACUUUAUCUAUUCAAUGGGAUCGGUAAUCUAGACCCCAGAGACUUAUUAGUAGAGUACAUGAUGAAAUUGCGAAAGGUUUAUAAAAGAAACUCACACGAUAGCCAACAGUCCUACACAAUACAAUGGCGCACUUGUCACUAACCCCCGCUUAUCACCUCUCUGACUUCUGAGGCAGGUUGUAAACUGUGCUGUUAGAUAUGGCCAGCAAGCCCAGAUCUCACAGCUAGCACAAGAAACACAAGGUCGGUAGGCGCACAGCUCCCUUUAUUCCACACUGUACAUUUGAUACUGCGUUUCAUCGUGCCACAUGUUUACCUAGCCAGAUAAGAAUACACAUUAGAUUUAUUCCAUCAAGCAGUGUUCAUUGACACACUGAUUGCACGCCGUCUGUGUGUCUCUCUCUGUUUCUGUUAUAUGUAUGUAUUUCCUUUAAACAAGUUGCUUGGGUCACCAUGACUUGAGCCCUUUAUCACUAGAACUUAAUUCGAGUACCUUUCAAACUUAGGAGUGAUAUUCCAGUGCAUUCUACAUGCCCUGGCCUUGCCUCCUGCUUUCCUGGUUUUGUUAGCAAGAAAUGAACAAUUCACUGGAGUAGGAGGGUAUUCUCCUACCCAGAUGUUGACAAGCAAUGCUGGGAGAUCCUUAGACUCUGAAAAUGGAUUGACUUCAUUAGCUGAGAAGAUUCGAGGCAGGAGGCAAGAAUGAGCUCAGUGAUUUAGUUUAAAUUUGAGAGAUUGGUAAAAGAUGGAGGUCUCAUUUCCUGCAGUCAACCUUUCAGUAGUGGUGGAUUUAGGAUACCCUUGUCUGAUGCUUCUAGAAGGCCCACACCAGGAUGCUGAUGUGGAAUUAUGCUACCUGAAGUCCCUCUCGGUCUACCAAGGUCUGGAGAGCGCAAGCAACCGUAGCUGACUUACAGCCCCAUGGUGCCCACCUAACUACCAUUGUGCUUCUUCCCUGAAUGGUGCCAAAUGUCAAUUAUCACGGACACUUUCCCCUCUUCCACUUCAGUUAACUUGCGAUGUGGCCACCUCAGGUUUUCCGGAUGUCUCCCCUCCUCUUAGCCGAGGAGAUAUAAUCUUUAACAAAUCCCAGGUUCUCGUUUCCUCUUGAUGGUGUGUCCCAUUGUGCAACUCCUGCCUGUGUGUUUGCCCGUGCAACCAGCAUGUACGUUGCUUUCUACCAUGACAUGUUUUCUCAUUAGAAAUUAAGUCCAUAUGUGUUGGUUUGAGGAGACAGCUCAGUUGGUGAAACACUUGCCUUGCAAGCAUGGGGAAGCAUGAGUUCAAGUCUUGGUCUUGUAAAAGUAAGCUGGGCAUGGUAGCACAGGCUUGGAAUCUAUGCCCUAGCUCGGUAAAAUAACAUGUCAUUCCCUGAGCAGCCAGCUUAAUUUACGUGAAACAUUCCAGACCACUAAUUCAAAAGUACAUGGAUGGUGUCUGAAGAAUGAAACGUAAGGUUGUGGCUUCUCUGUUUUUCUACAAGCAUACGUAUCUGCACGUACACACAUGUUCCUGAACACACACCUAUACACACAUAUACCUACACACACAUCUGAAUACACAUACAUGCACAUGGAUACAUGAUUCCAUUUUGCUACUGAGUUUUUUUUAGGGAGAACAUUCCAGCAAUAUUCAAACGCAUAAAUAAUGUUUGGUAAAGUUAAGUCUCAAAUCUCGCCCUUCUGAAGUUCAUGACAGUUCCAUUCACACCUUGCCUUGAUGGCAAGAAGGGUUGUCCCUAGGCUGAGGGUUUCAGGACUGUCAUGUGAAGGCAGCCAUGUCCGAACCUCCUGCCUUCCUCUUUCAGGGGACGGAAGAGAAUCUGCCUUUUCCUAUCAUGCUCUUUAUUGUACAUGGCCAGGACCUGAUGAUAUGGGGAGGUUCUAGUUACAAGCAAGAAGAUGAUCAAGAAACCAAAGCCAGGCUGGCCUCAUGGUUCUGUGGUGUUUUCUGAAGACUACUGACCUUCUCACGGAAUGCUUGAGAAGUUUGUCUCUAAGAAAGACCGUCGGCAGAGAGACAGUGAGUGCACGCCAGCUUUGGAGACGUCCUUUUCUCUCUUUCUGUCGCUCGUGCCUGUUCUGAAUAUUGCCACCACCCUGAGACGAUGCUUCGAUACUUUCAAAGGGAAGUGAAGAAAUAUGUUUCAAACACUCAGGAGCAAACUCUUGGUUUUGUUUUGUUUUUAACUGUAAUUUGAAGCUAGUCUUGAUUAUGUGUAUGGAGGGGUGUUGGAAGGAAAUGGUCAUAUAUUAAUAUAUUGCAAAUGACAGGGAUGGGCAAGGAAUAUCUAUCAGUUCUUGGCAAUUUCACACACAUGCACACACACACAUUAUUAUCUAUAAUGUAUUUGGAUCACAUGCAAUCUCGUGUUUCUUUCCCACCUCUGGACCUUUUAAUUCAUCCUAACAAGGCCCUCUACUGCUUCCUUGUCCCUUUUCUAAUGACCCACUCAGCUCCAUUAGGGCUGCCUGCAGGAGCAGGGUGAAGGUAUUUUCUGGAUCAUACUCACCAAUGACCACACCACAGAAGAAAAACUGCCUCCUUCUCCCCCAACAACCAUUAACUGCCAACAGCUGCUCAGGGAGUGGUGGGGCCUCAUCCAUGGGAGAGAAUUCAAGCGCCUAACUUGUGCUGUUGGGUGGCUGCAGCUACUGUGAGUUUGUGGAGUUCAGAGGACUCUGCCGUGUGGAGUUCAGAGGACAGUAUUUGUUACCACUCUUCCCAGGCUCAGACUUUAACAUUCUGUGUCCUCUUCUAACAUGAUCCCAAGCCGUGGGUGAGGAACGCAUCUGGUUUAGGGCUGGGCACUUAGCAUUCACUGAAACUCAGCAUGGCACAGUGUUUUUAUGAACUGUGUUGUGAAAUGAAGCUUUUCUUCUCAUUCAAGUGCAUUGCCAUUCUGUCUUGUAAUGAUUUCUGUCCACUACACUGGAAUUAAGGUAUCCCUCCCCCAUUUCUGUAAGUGGGUGAGAUCCUCCUUUCUUCUCUCCUCCACCGCACCCCAUUUCAUUAGUUACAGCCACUCUAUUUCUUGUCAGCAAUGGGGACUUUUUCCUCCUAAUGUCAUAUUGUUUGUGUCCUGACCGUGUCUGUCUUUUCAUCAUCGAGCGAGCUGUGCCCUGCGUUCUUCACUGGGAUCCGCAUAUGAGGUGGUUGCUGGUUCUGUAUGCUUUGUUUUCUGAAGAGGUAUCGCCUCUCUGUUUAAGGUUAUUCAUGGUUACCCAACUUGUCCAGGGUUAGACUGGGCUCCUUUGAACAGUGAGCCAAGAGCAACACAGCAGAAACAGAGCCAUGCAGCAAAACCAGUUUCCAUCACUUCAACAACAAGGAAAUGACAGGAGAGCUACUGAAGACCCACCGGGUGCCAGACUGGGAUGGGUCACCAGAAAUAAGUCAGGGAAAGCUUAGCCAGGCUUCGCGUUGAAGGGAUUUACUGGCAAAGGUCUGUGCAAAGUCCAGUCCAUUUUCUAUCAUUAACAUCAGCUGGCAUGGGUUGUUCCAGGGGGCUGAAAGAGGAAGCUUCUGAAAGAAGGGGACUCAGGAGAAUGGCAGGCAGGUACACUGGCUCUGAUUUGUCGAUUUUCCUCUCUGUUGAGAUAUGGUGUUGAUGGAGGGAUGGCUCAGUGGGUAAAGUCUUUGCUUUCCACACUUGAUCUUAGCCGAAAGGCUGAGAAUCGAUAAGUCUUUGCUUUCCAAGUGGGAGGACCCGGUUUGGAUCCUCAGGGCUCCCCUGCAGCUGGACCCUGGACCCCAGAGUACCUAUCCAAUUUCCUUAGCUCCUGUGGUAAGAUGGAGCACACAGACAGGAGAGUCCUCAGAAGGCCACUGACAAGCUGUUCCUACACAGCCGCGAGAAGAAAGACUCUCAAAGAAGGCAGAAGGGGAGAGCUGGUGCCAGAAAUUGUCUUUUGACUCCAAAAAGCACUCAGAAGAACUCUUGUGCUUAACAUACAUGCACACCACACACACACACACAUACACACACACACACACAGACACACACACACACACAGACACACAGACACAGACACAUACACUCACACACAUAUACACACACUCACACAUACACACACACAUACACACACACAGACACACAGACACAGACACAUACACUCACACACACACACACUCACACACAUACACACACACAUGCACAGACACACAGACACAGACACAUACACACACAUAUACCAAACACAUAUACACUCAGACACACUCACUCACACACUCACACUCACACUCUCACACACACAAAUAGACAUACACAGACACACACACAAAUACACAACACACACACACUCACACAGAGACUCAGACACAUACACACACAACACACACUCACACACAUGGACAGAUUUUUAAAAGGGAGAAACUUCAUUAAGGGAAAAAAUCCAAAUGUGCAAAGUGGAAGAAGAUAUUUUAAAACACCACACCAGCUGGGGGAUAGCGUGCAGCUGGCUCCUGUCAAUCAGAACAUAGACCAGAAGAGCCAGACAGAUGGACAGAUGGUGAUGGCCUGGGUGUCUGAGGCCCCAGAGUGUCAACUACGUUCCUUACUGCCGGUAGCUUUCUCUUCCUUGUGACGAUGUUGGGUAAGGCCUUAUAGGCAGCUGCAUGGUCUGCAAGAGAAGGCUGCUAGACGAAGUGCCCACGUUCAGCCCCGUGGCCAGCAUCCCAGUGCGACAGUCUCUUGCAGUAUCAGCCUACUAAUUGGUAAUUAAAGGGCAAACCAUCCCUUCAUUUCCUUCCUGAAGGAAGAUAACUUCCCUUCUUCCCAGAUAGCUGUUUCCAGGGCCUUUGAGAGGGACAAAUAAACGAAUGUGAGCAUUUGCCUUGCUUUCAAAUGCUCAUCUGAGGUAUGAAGUUUUCUGACCCGGACGUCGUCAGAGCCGUGGUGGAGACAAGUUAACUGUAUAUACAUAUAUAUACAUACAUAUACACACAC
ensembl:lncRNA